rnacentral:rRNA from 1 species
UACGAAGGGGGCUAGCGUUGUUCGGAAUUACUGGGCGUAAAGGGCGCGUAGGCGGUGUGUCAAGUCAGGCGUGAAAGCCCCGGGCCCAACCUGGGAACCGCGCUUGAGACUGGCACGCUCGAGUUCGGGAGAGGAUGGUGGAAUUCCCAGUGUAGAGGUGAAAUUCGUAGAUAUUGGGAAGAACACCGAUGGCGAAGGCAGCCAUCUGGACCGACACUGACGCUGAGGCGCGAAAGCGUGGGGAGCAAACAGG